ensembl:snoRNA U3 Small nucleolar RNA U3
AAGACUAUACUUUCAGGGAUCAUUUCUAUAGUUUGUUACUAGAGAAGUUUCUCCGAAAGUGUAGAGCACCAUAUUGUGAAAAUGGCCAUACUGCCCAAGGUAAUUUAUAGAUACAAU